rnacentral:ribozyme from 14 species
UCCCCCUAUUCUAUCACUAUGUGAGCAGUUUAUUGCUGAAAAUCUGGCUUGAAAAAUAUGGAAAUGAGCUCAGAGGCUUGGAAAGAAAGGCCUAGGAGGCCUUCCAUGUGUUUCCAUUUAAUUUUCAUCUAUUUUUAUUUAUCCCUAAACCAAAAACAGGCUGACAAAU